rnacentral:lncRNA from 1 species
GGUCUCAGAAGCUCUCAGAGGCUGUUUAAUUAAACUUCCAUAUCUUCAUAUGAACUUUCAGAAUAAUGAAUUUAAUGAAUUUAGUUGGAGCUCUGACACAGUUUGGUCAAAGAGAUCAACCCAAUCACUGCUAAGGGUUGGUAGCCUGUUUUAACUAGUUGGCUUGAAAGAUAAGACCUGGCCUGAGGGCAGUUCAGGCUGUGCUGGUAAGUGCUUCUCUAAACGAUGCUUAGCUGCCUGCCUUGUGAAGGAUCUCUGCAGUCUGGAGAUGGUGGUGCUGCAGCUGCCUUAGAUCUAACCUUUCCAGGUGCAUCACAAGCAUUCCUGUUGUGAAUCAAAUCAGCUUUUGGAAAUUGGUACUAGAUAAUGAAUGGAUUUAUUUGUAUCACCUCAAGAUAACUACCUGCUAUGAUUUUAUUUUUAAGGAAGAGCUUAACUUCAUGCUGCAGUCCCUUGCUGCGUAACCUGUAUGCUUCUCAGCACAGCUACAUAAGGAGCUGCCUGGAGGAGGGCAAGAAAUGUCUCGGUGUCUUAUAUGCCCAAAUAUGGAACAGUGCUUUUUCUUGCCUUAUGGAUAAGGAGUACAGUGUUGUUUGAUCCCUACAUACAGGGUUUGGGAUACGCAGGAGCUGGACCCUGAAAGGCCACCAGGUAGACAGCUGUUGGACUUAACAGACAGUGAGGCUGACAGUACAUCAGAUAGGUUUCUUCUGAAAAUCUGCCCAGUUCCUAUUUAAAAAAAAAAAAAAAAUUCAAAGUAAACACAUUCUUGCAAAAUAUUUUGAUUUUUACAUUUGGAGUGUUUUUCCAUCAAAAAAAUCCAUUAGAAGUGUUCCAGUAACUUAUUUUUUCCCCAGUUAGAUUUCCUAGCAGAGCUGAAGUGAAAGCAAUCAUCAUUUAGUGAGCAUUUUCUGUGAUAAAGUGUGAGGUGUCUCGGAGGGAAAUGCCGUGUGUUGCAGAACAAUGCUACUACUUGGUAUCAAUGAUAAUCCUGUUGCAAGCUUUCAGUAUCUCUUACUGGCCACUUUGCAUGCCUGGUUCCAGAACUUUAUUCCCAUAAUUGGAGAAAUCUUUGCUGGUAAAGCUGUACAUUCAUAUCAUGUUGCAUAGGUGACUUACAAUUUCGACUUAUGUGUCACAAUAAGAAAUGAGGUCCUUCAAACAAAAGGAUAAAUUUAGUACACCACAAAAUAUUUUCAGAAGCUAAAUUUUACUAGUGAGAUGUCUAUUUUUAUGGGGG